GCCUGGGUGGCUCAGCCGGUGAAGCGUCUGACUCCUGAUUUCAGCUCAGGUCAUGAUCUCACAAUUCGUGAGUUCGAGUCCCACAUCGGGCU
rnacentral:tRNA from 1 species